UGCUUGUUGCUUUUCGCCACCAUUUUGUAAGCAAGUAGAGUGCAUGUAUUUUUGCGUCAUCAACAAUAUAAAAUAUUGUUGUUUUACGUAUAUUUGAUCAAUAAGAUCACAAUCACGUUAGUGAUUUUUGAUAUAUCAUUCUAAAGUGCUGGUGUAAAUUGCGAUGGAUAAUCAGCGAGAAAAAGAACGUGAUCGAUCCAGACGAGGGGACCGACCAUCCAGAUUUUCCGAUGCAACCAGAGAUCGCUCAAGCGACCGGGAGCGCCCUGAAGGGAAAAGAUUGUUAGUGUCCAAUAUUCCUUAUGAAUUUCGCUGGACGGAAUUAAAGGAUUUGUUUAAGGAGAAGGUUGGAGAUGUGGCUUACGUAGAACUAUUCAAUGACGAAAACGGGAAACCUAGAGGUUGUGGUGUAGUUGAGUUCACUAACCCUGAGGCCAUGAAGAAAGCCUUAUUUGUCAUGCACCGCUAUGAGUUGAACGGUCGUAAACUAGUAUUGAAGGAGGAAACAGUUUCAGGUAAUGACAGGAAUAGGAUGAAUUCCUCUCGAUCUGGAGGCGGUGGUGGUGGUGGAGGCGGCGGAGGCCGUAAUGCUAGGAAUGAUGAUAAGGAUUCUUUCAACUGGGGUAUCAGUAAGCCUCGGGAACCAGAAAAUUACAAUACCUAUGGUCUAAGUCUCCAGUUUCUUGAGUCCAUAAAUGUACAACCACCUUUGGUUAAGAAAGUAUUUGUUGCCAAUCUUGACUACAAAGCAGAUAGGACUAAAAUAAAGGAAGUUUUCAAAAUGGCUGGCAAAGUCCGCAACAUUGAUCUGGCAGUAGACAAAGAUGGUAACAGCAGGGGAUUUGCUGUUAUUGAGUAUGAUCAUCCAGUUGAGGCAGUUCAGGCAAUUUCGAUGUUUGACAAACAAAUGUUGUAUGAUCGAAGAAUGACAGUGCGCAUGGACAGGGGUGUAACAGAUAAGGGUGAAGUAAGGUUACCAGAAGGCUUGAAAAGCAUUGGUCUUGGUCUGGGACCUAAUGGGGAGCCUUUAAGAGAUGUAGCAAGGAAUCUUCCAACUCAGACACCAACUACUACAAAUCUAAGUCUAGCAAAUACUGGGACUGCAUUGGGUGCAGGAGUUUUGGGUGCGGUACCUACCGCUGGUGUGACUUUGAAUGGACUUGGAGCAGGAUUAUCAGCUAACACUUUAAAUACCAACACAGCAUUGGGCGGUAACUUAGGACUACAGGCAUUUAGUUUGACUGGCUUGGGAGCUUUACAAAAUCAGUUGCUGCAACAAGGUUUGACUGCUAAUGAUUUGGCUACAGUGCUCACAGCACAGGCCAAUGUGAACUCAAAUAACUUGGGACUUGGUAAUACAGACUUAGGUUCAAGCCUCAACUUGAACAACUCUAGCUUGGCCAACAGUGUUAUGGGCAACAACACACUUAGCUCUGGACCUCUCUCAGGCAAUAACAGACAAAUGGGUGGUGUGACAGUUUCAGCCCAAUACGGACGGGAUCCCGGGGUCCAGCAAUCAAGCAGGGACAAAUCAUCUGACAUGGUCAUCAUCACUAAUUUGCCGCCGACAGUGACGUGGCAGUUGAUUCGUGAGAAGUUCAGCGAGUGCGGCGAUGUGAAGUUCGCUGAAAUGACUGCUCCCGAUACAGCUGUGGUCCGCUUCCAUAAGGAGUGGGAUGCGGAAAGAGCUAUAAAAAUGUUCGACCGCACCCGCAUCGAUGGAAGGACGAUCGAUGUUCGCUUUUUUUAGCAGGCGGCCGCUGAAGAAUCACUAUGGAUAAGCUAAAUUGACUAUGACAGUUUUGUCAAUGUAUCCGAAAUGGAGAGCAUGAUGAUGCAAACUGUGACUGCUCGAUUGAAUUGACAAGGAUGCAGCAUGCUGCUCUAGUAAAGCGAUAGCCAUCAGGAAAAAUAGCAUUCUCAGCUAUUGGUGUAGAUCCAUUAAAAGAUUAAGAACCAACACAGUUGUGGCUAAGCCACGAGGAGACUUAGCCUAGGAUCUUGGUCCAUAACGUCCUACUUAGCCUGGAAACGUUUUGACUAGAAAAAACCCUUUGGUACACAGAGAGAGCUAAGCUGCUAAUUCCACGCAUUUAAAUCCAGAAACAUGACCUACAAUAACAGUAAUUAGACUCGCAACAUGCGCACAUCCACAAUCCGAGAAUGAUGCUUUAUGGAGCCGAGUGAAGUGAAGAUAUGACAUGAGUCAUUGUAACAAGGUAAGCUUAUAAAGUCAAGUUUAUUUUUGUGACGUCUAACCUAAUAGAUUUUGUUGAAUGUUUUGUAACCUGUAGUAGUUUUAAGUUCCAAACUAACCUACAAAAAUAACUAUCGUGCGUGAGGUCACUGAGAUACCGGCCUCUGGAUCGGAAUUCUCAGUUAUUUUAUGCAGUUUGCUAAACGCGUCGCCUAUCAACAAACGACAGUUGAUCAAUCACAUUUAGAAAUAUGAAGGAUCUUUCUUUCUAG